AGGUACACACACACUUACACACACUGACCUAUGUAUUUAUAUAAUUUUAUUUUGUUUUAGGUUUUCAUAAUGUUUUUGGUUUAGGCGAUUUUGGUUCAUAGGUUUCAACUUGUUGAUAUAUGGGUUCACCACUCAACAGGCAACACCACAAAUUCCAAAAUAUCAAAGCUUUUAGAUAUGUCAGCAGCAGGCAAGACCAAGAGCCUAUGAUUUUUAUCAUUGACUUGUUAAAUAAAAAUAAAUCAUGGGAAUGGGAAUGGAUGUGUGCAGGUUCAUUUUGGGAUUGGAAGAGUGUUAUAUUAAGGAAUGUAGGGUUUUUCUCAGAUAUUAUGACUUUGUUAAUGGCUCUGGGUCAUGAUGUACAAAUAUGGCGCCUUCAUGGAAUAACAUUCCAUCUUGUCGAUGCAACGCUUUUCUUAAAUAUACGAUUUGUUGUUGGUUGUGGCAGUUUUUAAAGGGGACACCAGGACAGAUGCAUGAGUCACUGUGUGUGACUUUGGCUUCUUUGCCAAAACCAACUAAAUUUACUGUGAUCUGAUCUACCUCAACUUCAGGAAGUUGGAGAAAAGGGUCACAAGAAUUAUCGGAGCAGGGGUUCAUUAGUUUUAAAUUAAGAAUUAUGAAAGGCAAGAUGCAACUCUAUUUAUUUGGAAUUUGAUGUUUAUCAUCUUUGUGUAUAUCUUUUUAGUUUCUAUAGCAUUACAUUGCAGAAGGUGUCCCUUAAUAGCAAUGUAGGAGUAGUAGGUUAGAUAGUUAGGGAAAACCUCUUAAUAAUAAUGUAUAAUUAGAUCCCAUUAAUAUCAAUGUAUUACAAUUUUUUGACAUGAUGUUAUUGGAUGAAAUUGAUUG